AACGGCGGCGCCGCGGUUAUAACGUACCAGAGCGCCCUCGCCGGCGCUGGAACGAAUCGUGCAACACAGAUAAGGGGAAAAAACACGGGAACCCAAUACAAGUUACGGCCUUCUUCACACCCUCUGAUCGUCAAAUAACUACACCAUCAAGAGGACAAACUGCAAGCGUAGGAGCUUUUUCCCCACUGCUGCCUCUGCAUGGAACUGACGAUUGAUGAAUAUUUUAGAAGGCAGCAGCUUCAAUGUCACAGCAGACAACCAGCAGUGUGACACCUCCAAGAUGGAACAGGUGUAAGUUCAAGGCACCAUGAACUGUGACGUCCGCAAAUCUUGUGACACUUCAAGCUGUUUGUUGCCACUCCGAUUUGAAAUUUACUGUCAAAUGAUGCAUAAAACUGUACAUAAGGCAAAGGGGGAUGACGUGUUGUGUAUUUAAUCAUGCCACUUCACCUUGCCUUACCAAAGUCUGCUUUGCUAAUGCUAACAUACAAUGCAAAAAGCCAUACACAGGCUAAUGAAACUAGCAUCAAUGUUGCAGUGCGCAA